AUGCAUAGCUCCCUUGUCAGGUUAGUGGGAGUAGGGAUUGUGACGUCUGCAGGGGUGUGGAAGGCUGGGCGACGGGAGCAGCUUACAGGGCUGGACCAGAAAUACUCUUUUCCAUCAGUGAAAUCCACUUCCGGGUCAGAAAAACCUGCAAGUUCUGGAGGGGCAGGGCCUAGGAGGAGGUGUGCUCUAUCAGAAGGCUUCCCCUUUCUGUUAGACAGAGUCCUGGAAGAAGAAAUGAACACUGCUGAGAAAGAUGUUCCACAAGGAGGAAGGAGUCACCGUUUUCAGGAGCAUGAUCCCCAGAAGCAUGAGAAAUCCAGAUGCCAUGGCUUUACACAGGACGCUGGAGUUUCUUUCCUCUGGAUCCAGGACCUUGGCAUCGGUGUUCUGUAAUGCCCAUAACUGAAUUUGAGGAGUGAUGAGAGGCAGUUCCAAGAUGGCCGAAUAGGAACAGAUCCAACCUCCAGCUCCCAGCAUGAGUGACACAGGAGACGGGUGAUUUUUGCAUUUCCAACUGAGGUACCGGGUUCAUCUCACUGGGGAUUGUUGGACAGUGGGGGCAGAACAGUGAAUGCAGCCCACAGAGUGACAACUGAAGCAGGGCGAGGCAUCACCUCACCCAGGAAGUGCAAGGGGGAAGGGAAUUCCCUUUCCUAGCCAAGGGAAACCGUGAUACACAACACCUGGAAAAUUGGGUUUACUCCCACCCUAACACUGCCCUUUACCAAGGGUCUCAGCAAACGUCACACUAAGAGAUUAUAUCCCGCAUCUGGCUUGGAGAGUCCCACGCCCACAGAACCUCCCUCAUUGCUAGCACAGCAGUCUGAGAUCUAACUGCAAGGAGGCUGCAAGGCUGGGGGAGGGGCGCUCACCAUUGCUGAGGCUUGAGUAGGUAAACAAAGUGGCAGGGAAGCUCGAACUGGGUGGAGCCCACCACAGCUCAAAGAGGCCUGCCUGCCUACCUCUGUAGACACCACCUCUGGGGACAGAGCAUAGCCAAACAAAAGGCAGCAGAAACCUCUGCAGAUUUAAAUGUCCCUGUCUGACAGCUUUGAAGAGAGUAGUGGUUCUCCCAACACGGAGUUUGAGAUCUGAGAACAGACAGACUGCCUGCUCAAGUGGGUCCCUGACUCUGGAGUAGCCUAACUGGGAGAUACCCCCACUAGGGGCAGAUUGACACCUCAUACCUCACACAACCAGGUACCCCUUUGAGACGAAGCUUCCAGGGGAACGAUCAGGCAGAAAUAUUUGCUGUUCAGCAAUAUUAACUCUUCUGCAGCCUCCACUGCUGACACCCAGGCAAACAGGGUCUGGAGUGGACCUCAAGCAAACUCCAACAGACCUGCAGCUGAGGGUCGUGACUAUUAGAAAGAAAACUAACAAACAAGCAGAAAGGACAUCCACACCAAAACCCCAUCUGUACAUCAACAUCAUCAAAGACCAAAGGUAGAUAAAACCACAAAGAUGGGGAAAAAGAAGUGCAGGAAAACUGAAAAUUCUAAAAAUCUGAGCACCACUCCCCCUCCAAAGGAAUGCAGCUCCUCUCCAGCAACGGAACAAAGCUGAACAGAGAAUGACUUUGACGAGUUGAGAGAAGAAGGCUUCAGACGAUCAAACUUCUCUGAGCUGAAGGAGGAAGUUCGAACCCAUAGCAAAGAAGCUAAAAACCUUGAAAAAAGAUUUCACGAAUGGCUAACUAGAAUAACCAAUAUAGAGAAGUCCUUAAAUGACCUGAUAGAGCUGAAAACCAUGACACGAGAACUACAUGAAAAAUGCACAAGCUUCAGUAAUUGACUCGAUCAACUGGAAGAAAGGGUGUCAGUGAUUGAAGAUCAAAUGAAUAAAAUGAAGUGAGAAGAGAAGUUUAGAGUAAAAAGAGUAAAAAGAAAUGAACAAAGCCUCCAAGAAAUAUGGGACUAUGGGAAAAGGCAAAAUCUACGUCUGAUUUGUGUACCUGAAAGUGAUGGGGAGAAUGGAACCAAGUUGGAAAACACUCUGCAGGGUAUUAUCCAAGAGAACUCCCCCAACCUAGCAAGGCAGGCCGACAUUCAAAUUCAGGAAAUACAGAGAACGCCACAAAGAUACUCCUCUAGAAGAGCAACUCCAAGACACAUAAUUGUCAGAUUCACCAAAGUUGAAAUGAAGGAAAAAAUGUUAAGGGCAGCCAGAGAGAAAUGUCGGGUUACCCACAAAGGGAAGCCCAUCAACAAAGGGAAGCCCAUCAGACUAACAGUGGAUCUCUCGGCAGAAACUCUACAAGCCAGAAGAGGGGGUGGGGGGGGGAACAAUAUUCAAUAUUCUUAAAGAAAAGAAUUUUCAACCCAGAAUUUCAUAUCCAGUCAAAUUAAGUUUCAUAAGUGAGGGAGAAAUAAAAUCCUUACAGACAAGCAAACGCUGAGAGAUUUUGUCACCACCAGGCCUGCCCUACAAGAGCUCCUGAAGGAAGCACUAAACAUGGAAAUGAACAACCGGUACCAGCCACUGCAAAAACAUGCCAAAAUGUAAAGACUAUUGAUGCUAGGAAGAAACUGCAUCAACUAAUGAGCAAAAUAACCAGCUAACAUCAUAAUAGACAGGAUCAAGUUCACAUGUAACAAUAUUAACCUAAAUGUAAAUGGGCUAAAUGUUCCAAUUAAAAGACACAGACUGGCAAGUUGGAUAAAGAGUCAGGAGCUCUUGUAGGGCAGGCCUGGUGGUGACAAGACCCAUCAGUUUGCUGUAUUCAGGAGACCCAUCUCACAUGAAGAGACACACAUAGGCUCAAAAUAAAGGGAUGGAGGAAGAUCUACCAAGCAAAUGGAAAACAAAAAAAGGCAGGGGUUGCAAUCCUAGUCACUGAUAAAACAGACUUUAAACCAACAAAGAUCAAAAGAGACAAAGAAGGCCAUUACAUAAUCGUAAAGGGAUCAAUUCAACAAGAAGAGCUAACUAUCCAAAAUAUAUAUGCACCCAAUUCAUGAGCACCCAGAUUUAUAAAGCAAGUCCUUAGAGACUUACAAAGAGACUUAGACUCCCACACAAUAAUAAUGGGAGACUUUAAUACCCCACUGUCAACAUUAGACAGAUCAACGAGACGGAAAGUUAAGAAUAUACAGGAAUUGAACCUAACUCUGCACCAAGCAGACCUAAUAGACAUCUACAGAACUCUCCACCCCAAAUCAACAGAAUAUACAUUCUUCUCAGCACCACAUCACACUUAUUCCAAAAUUGACCAGAUAGUUGGAAGUAAAGCACUCCUCAGGAAAUAUAAAAGAACAGAAAUUAUAACAAACUGUCUCUCAGACCACAGUGCAAUCAAACAAGAACUCAGGAUUAAGAAAUUCAAUUAAAACUGCUCAACUACAUGGAAACUGAACAAACCGCUCCUGAAUGACUACUGGUUACAUAACGAAAUGAAGGCAGAAAUAAAGAUGUUCUUUGAAACCAAUGAGAACAAAGAUACAUCAUACCAGAAUCUCUGGACACAUUUAAAGCGGUGUGUAGAGCAAAAUUUAUAGCAAUAAAUGCCCACAAGAGAAAGCAGGAAAGAUCUAAAAUUGACAUCCUAAUAUCACAAUUAAAAGAACUAGAGAAGCAAGAGCAAACACAGUCAAAAGCUAGCAGAAGGCAAGAAAUAACUAAGCUCAGAGCAGAACUGAAGGAGACAGAGACACAAGAAACCCUUCAAAAAAUCAAUGAAUCCAGAAGCUGGUUUUUUGAAAAGAUCAACAAAAUUGAUAGACUGCUAGCAAGACUAAUAAAGAAGAAAAGAGAGAAGAAUCAAAUAGAUGCAAUAAAAAAUGAUAAAGGGGAUAUCACCACUGACCCCACAGAAAUACAAACCACUAUCAGAGAAUACUGUAAACCCCUCUACGUAAAUAAGCUAGAAACCUAGAAGAAAUGGAUAAAUUCCUGGACACAUGCAUUCUCCCAAGACUAAACCAGAAAGAAGUUGAAUCCCUGAAUAGACCAAUAGCAGGCUCUGAAAUUGAGGCAAUAAUUAAUAGCCUACCAACCAAAAAAGUCCAGGACCAGAAAGAUUCAUAGCCGAAUUCUACCAGAGGUACAAGGAGGAGCUGGUACCAUUACUUCUGAAACUAUUCCAAUCAAUAGAAAAAGAGGGAAUCCUCCCUAACUCAUUUUAUAAGGUCAACAUCAUCCUGAUACCAAAACCUGGCAGAGAGACAACAACAAAAAAAAGAGAAUUUUAGACCAAUAUCCCUGAUGAACAUCCAUGCAAAAAUCCUCAAUAAAAUACUGGCAAACCAAAUCUACAGCACAUCAAAAAGCUUAUCCACCAUGUCAAGUGGGCUUCAUUCCUGGGAUGCAAGGGAUGAAGCCCAUGCAUUGUGUACGAGCUAUUUAUGACAAACGUACGGCCAAUAUCAUAUUGAAUAGGCAAAAACUGGAAGCAUUCGCCUUG
ensembl:lncRNA